rnacentral:rRNA from 1 species
CAUGUCUAGAUCUAGCGAGAUAUGGCCCUUCGGGGUACUCGAGCGGCGAACGGGUGAGUAACACGUGAGUAAUCUGCCCCAGGCUCUGGGAUAGCCACCGGAAACGGUGAUUAAUACCGGAUACGACAACCGAUUGCAUGAUCUGGUUGUGGAAAGUUUUUCGGCCUGGGAUGUGCUCGCGGCCUAUCAGCUUGUUGGUGAGGUAAUGGCUCACCAAGGCUUCGACGGGUAGCCGGCCUGAGAGGGUGACCGGCCACACUGGGACUGAGACACGGCCCAGACUCCUACGGGAGGCAGCAGUGGGGAAUAUUGGACAAUGGGCGGAAGCCUGAUCCAGCAACGCCGCGUGAGGGAUGACGGCCUUCGGGUUGUAAACCUCUUUCAGCACAGACGAAGCGCAAGUGACGGUAUGUGCAGAAGAAGGACCGGCCAACUACGUGCCAGCAGCCGCGGUAAUACGUAGGGUCCGAGCGUUGUCCGGAAUUAUUGGGCGUAAAGGGCUCGUAGGCGGUCUGUCGCGUCGGGAGUGAAAACCAGGUGCUUAACACCUGGCCUGCUUUCGAUACGGGCAGACUAGAGGUACUCAGGGGAGAAUGGAAUUCCUGGUGUAGCGGUGAAAUGCGCAGAUAUCAGGAGGAACACCGGUGGCGAAGGCGGUUCUCUGGGAGUAUCCUGACGCUGAGGAGCGAAAGUGUGGGGG